rnacentral:rRNA from 1 species
CUACAGGCUUAACACAUGCAAGUCGAGGGGCAGCAUGGUCUUAGCUUGCUAAGGCCGAUGGCGACCGGCGCACGGGUGAGUAACACGUAUCCAACCUGCCGUCUACUCUUGGACAGCCUUCUGAAAGGAAGAUUAAUACAAGAUGGCAUCAUGAGUCCGCAUGUUCACAUGAUUAAAGGUAUUCCGGUAGACGAUGGGGAUGCGUUCCAUUAGAUAGUAGGCGGGGUAACGGCCCACCUAGUCUUCGAUGGAUAGGGGUUCUGAGAGGAAGGUCCCCACAUUGGAACUGAGACACGGUCCAAACUCCUACGGGAGGCAGCAGUGAGGAAUAUUGGUCAAUGGGCGAGAGCCUGAACCAGCCAAGUAGCGUGAAGGAUGACUGCCCUAUGGGUUGUAAACUUCUUUUAUAAAGGAAUAAAGUCGGGUAUGGAUACCCGUUUGCAUGUACUUUAUGAAUAAGGAUCGGCUAACUCCGUGCCAGCAGCCGCGGUAAUACGGAGGAUCCGAGCGUUAUCCGGAUUUAUUGGGUUUAAAGGGAGCGUAGAUGGAUGUUUAAGUCAGUUGUGAAAGUUUGCGGCUCAACCGUAAAAUUGCAGUUGAUACUGGAUAUCUUGAGUGCAGUUGAGGCAGGCGGAAUUCGUGGUGUAGCGGUGAAAUGCUUAGAUAUCACGAAGAACUCCGAUUGCGAAGGCAGCCUGCUAAGCUGCAACUGACAUUGAGGCUCGAAAGUGUGGGUAUCAAACAGGAUUAGAUACCCUGGUAGUCCACACGGUAAACGAUGAAUACUCGCUGUUUGCGAUAUACAGCAAGCGGCCAAGCGAAAGCGUUAAGUAUUCCGCCUGGGGAGUACGCCGGCAACGGUGAAACUCAAAGGAAUUGACGGGGGCCCGCACAAGCGGAGGAACAUGUGGUUUAAUUCGAUGAUACGCGAGGAACCUUACCCGGGCUUAAAUUGCAGAUGAAUUACGGUGAAAGCCGUAAGCCGCAAGGCAUAUGUGAAGGUGCUGCAUGGUUGUCGUCAGCUCGUGCCGUGAGGUGUCGGCUUAAGUGCCAUAACGAGCGCAACCCUUGUUGUCAGUUACUAACAGGUUCUGCUGAGGACUCUGACAAGACUGCCAUCGUAAGAUGUGAGGAAGGUGGGGAUGACGUCAAAUCAGCACGGCCCUUACGUCCGGGGCUACACACGUGUUACAAUGGGGGGUACAGAGGUCCGCUACCACGCGAGUGGAUGCCAAUCCCCAAAACCUCUCUCAGUUCGGAUUGGAGUCUGCAACCCGACUUCACGAAGCUGGAUUCGCUAGUAAUCGCGCAUCAGCCACGGCGCGGUGAAUACGUUCCCGGGCCUUGUACACACCGCCCGUCAAGCCAUGGGAGCCGGGGGUACCUGAAGUGCGUAACCGCGAGGAGCGCCCUAGGGUAAAACUGGUGACUGGGGCU